AGCUAAUGGCAUUAAGCGUAGCAAGAGCGGAUAAUUGUUUAUUUUAUUUAAACAAACAGCUAUGGCUGCCUAAAUGACUUUUAAAGCCAAUAAAACAGAAAAAAAGACGCUUAUUGUUUCCUUGAUAUGUAAAUGAUGCAUCGGUGCUUUAGAAUAACCAGAAACCUAAUUUCGACUUUUUUAUGGUCAACGACUCGAUAAACAAAGUAUCCCAGUACAACAAGUCAUCAUCGUCUAAUUGAAGAUAAGUGAAAUUUUCGAAGCGACACGUGUCAAUAAUAGAUAAGUGGUUCAGUCACUCAACCUUGGUGUAAAAAAAAAUUCCAAUUAUUUCACAUGUCAGCGCAUCCUU